AGAAGAGCGGCGCUGUGCGUGCUAAGGGCCGCGCUAGAGCGCCUCCUGCCGGGAGCCACUGGGUUGGUCGACCGCGUCGGCCAGGCGUCCCGCCGGGGAAGCUAAGCAGGGGCCGCCUUGCAUCCAGAGCUGGAUGGGCACUAAGAGUUCCCCUGGCAAGCUCCCCGGGUGUGUUUUUUUUCCCUUCCCGCCCCGCACCUUCGCACACACUGACUCAGUGAGAGCUUUUUUAUUCUCUUUGCCUGCUGCUUUUCUUUGUUCUUUUCCCGGACUCGUCGCCCGCGAGCCUCCAGCAGGACUGCUCCGGCUCCGGAGUGCACCUGCGCCAGCCCCUCGGCACCUGCUCCGCCUGAAGAGUGCCCAGGGCUGCCUUAGCAGAACUCGCAGUUACACCACUAACACAAAAGUCUCGCUCGCUUUCAUAGGUCGUUUCUGGAGCAGAACAAACGGAAGUAUUUAGUGAUGCAGCUGUCCCCCGUCAAGAGAUACAUCCAUAGCUAUCCUUGUCGUUUCUGGAGCAGAACAAACGGAAGUAUUUAGUGAUGCAGCUGUCCCCCGUCAAGAGAUACAUCCAUAGCUAUCCUUGUCGUUUCUGGAGCAGAACAAACGGAAGUAUUUAGUGAUGCAGCUGUCCCCCGUCAAGAGAUACAUCCAUAGCUAUCCUUGUCGUUUCUGGAGCAGAACAAACGGAAGUAUUUAGUGAUGCAGCUGUCCCCCGUCAAGAGAUACAUCCAUAGCUAUCCUUGUCGUUUCUGGAGCAGAACAAACGGAAGUAUUUAGUGAUGCAGCUGUCCCCCGUCAAGAGAUACAUCCAUAGCUAUCCUUGUCGUUUCUGGAGCAGAACAAACGGAAGUAUUUAGUGAUGCAGCUGUCCCCCGUCAAGAGAUACAUCCAUAGCUAUCCUUGUACGUAUUCUGGGUGUAAGUUGAACAGAGCUCUUGGGGUCUGGGUGGGGAUGGGGCUUGCUGUGCCUGUGUUUCUUUGCUUUACAGGGCUGCCCACUUUGACAUGUAGGAAAGACAGGGCGAGGCUGCGGGGUUGUUUUCUGUGGGGGAGUGUCGGGUGCUGGGGAAAGGAGAGUCUGUUAGGGCCGGCGAUCUGGGGAUGAGACCAGUAGGUUGCAGGUGGGGAACGGCGCUGUGUGUGCUAAGGGCCGCACUAUAGCGCCUCCCCUCGGUAGCCAUUGGCCAAGCGUCCCUCCAGGGAAGCUCAUCAGCGGCCGCCGCGAGUUCGAGUCCCGCAUAUGCACAAAGAGAUCCCCUGGCAAAAGCCUCCCCGAUGUUGUUUCCCUGUCGCCCCGCACCUUCAGCCACACCGACUGAGCUCUUUUUUGUUUGUUUUUUUCUUUCUUUUUUUUUUUUUUGGUUGCUGUUGUUAGCUGGCUGCUUGGUGUUUUGUUAUUUUUUGUUCUUUUUCGUGCGUCGUCGCCCGGAAGCUCCAUGCAGUGUUUCUUGGGGUGCUGUGUGCAGCCGGGACAGUCGGUGGAGCUGGGUCAGCUGAACCGAGAGCUCUGUGAUCGGCUCGCUAGGGCUGCUGUGCUGGUCCGUGCGGGCGGCGGGCUGUUGGGAGGCGGGAGCGAGUGUGCGCAAAGAGUUCCCCUGUCCUGCUCCCCGAUGUUUUUCCUUCCGACCCCGGAGCUUCGGCCGCACUGUCAGAGCUCCGUUUUAUUUUCUUUGGCUGCUUGGGUCGUUUCUGGAGCAGAACAAACGGAAGUAUUUAGUGAUGCAGCUGUCCCCCGUCAAGAGAUACAUCCAUAGCUAUCCUUGUCGUUUCUGGAGCAGAACAAACGGAAGUAUUUAGUGAUGCAGCUGUCCCCCGUCAAGAGAUACAUCCAUAGCUAUCCUUGUACGUAUUCUGGGUGUAAGUUGAACAGAGCUCUGGGGGUCUGGGUGGGGAUGGGGCUUGCUGUGCCUGUGUUUCUUUGCUUUACAGGGCUGCCCACUUUGACAUGUAGGAAAGACAGGGCGAGGCUGCGGGGUUGUUUUCUGUGGGGGAGUGUCGGGUGCUGGGGAAAGGAGAGUCUGUUAGGGCCGGCGAUCUGGGGAUGAGACCAGUAGGUUGCAGGUGGGGAACGGCGCUGUGUGUGCUAAGGGCCGCACUAUAGCGCCUCCCCUCGGUAGCCAUUGGCCAAGCGUCCCUCCAGGGAAGCUCAUCAGCGGCCGCCGCGAGUUCGAGUCCCGCAUAUGCACAAAGAGAUCCCCUGGCAAAAGCCUCCCCGAUGUUGUUUCCCUGUCGCCCCGCACCUUCAGCCACACCGACUGAGCUCUUUUUUGUUUGUUUUUUUCUUUCUUUUUUUUUUUUUUGGUUGCUGUUGUUAGCUGGCUGCUUGGUGUUUUGUUAUUUUUUGUUCUUUUUCGUGCGUCGUCGCCCGGAAGCUCCAUGCAGUGUUUCUUGGGGUGCUGUGUGCAGCCGGGACAGUCGGUGGAGCUGGGUCAGCUGAACCGAGAGCUCUGUGAUCGGCUCGCUAGGGCUGCUGUGCUGGUCCGUGCGGGCGGCGGGCUGUUGGGAGGCGGGAGCGAGUGUGCGCAAAGAGUUCCCCUGUCCUGCUCCCCGAUGUUUUUCCUUCCGACCCCGGAGCUUCGGCCGCACUGUCAGAGCUCCGUUUUAUUUUCUUUGGCUGCUUGGGUCGUUUCUGGAGCAGAACAAACGGAAGUAUUUAGUGAUGCAGCUGUCCCCCGUCAAGAGAUACAUCCAUAGCUAUCCUUGUCGUUUCUGGAGCAGAACAAACGGAAGUAUUUAGUGAUGCAGCUGUCCCCCGUCAAGAGAUACAUCCAUAGCUAUCCUUGUACGUAUUCUGGGUGUAAGUUGAACAGAGCUCUUGGGGUCUGGGUGGGGAUGGGGCUUGCUGUGCCUGUGUUUCUUUGCUUUACAGGGCUGCCCACUUUGACCUGUAGGAAAGACAGGGUUUUCCCUUUCAGGAGAGGUGCCUUGCCAGUGAUGUUGUUGACGUUGUCAGUUGAAUUUGUACCUGCCUUGUAAUGAUAUAUGCUCCUCUGUGCUGAAUAAAGGCUUUCUUUUUGCUCCCUACUCUGUUCUGUUAUGCAAGUGCCCAAGUGUAUAAUGUGUCCCUGGCCUGGGAGAAGAAUAGUUCUGCUCCGCUUCCUGUCCGGCUUCAGCUUUUCCAUGUGUGUUGCACUUAUCUACUGCCCGUGUCUACAUGAGACAUAAGCCAAAAGGUUGCUGUUCUUCGGUGUGCAGGCAGAUUCUAAGCUGGAUCGUUUCAGUGUUUCUUCAGAGUCCGUCUCUAGAAGUUGUGUGGUAGAUUGCUCUGGGGUUCUGAAAGCUCUUCAGAGGGGAUGCUUCCUUUGCUCAGCAGCGUUUGAUUCUGCUGGCCUUGAGAGGUUCGUCUCUCUUGGACUUUUUUGCUUGGUAGAUGAUUUUUCUUAGAGUAAAGGCAUUGUAAUGGUACUUGGUGAGUAAGGACAGACGGACCAGACCUGGUUUAUGCUCGGGAGGGAAAUGAACAACCAAUCAGCCAAAGAAAUGUCAGUGUUAGAAGUGUGUGUCGUGUCUGUGGCAACUCUGCUUUCACUGAGUGCUGCCGUUUGUACAUAAUUAAAGUGUAACUUUCCUGA